AUUGAACGCUGGCGGCAUGCUUUACACAUGCAAGUCGAACGGUAACAGGCCGCAAGGUGCUGACGAGUGGCGAACGGGUGAGUAAUGCAUCGGAACGUGCCCAGUCGUGGGGGAUAACUACUCGAAAGAGUAGCUAAUACCGCAUACGAUCUAUGGAUGAAAGCGGGGGACCGUAAGGCCUCGCGCGAUUGGAGCGGCCGAUGUCAGAUUAGGUAGUUGGUGGGGUAAAGGCUCACCAAGCCAACGAUCUGUAGCUGGUUUGAGAGGACGACCAGCCACACUGGGACUGAGACACGGUCCAGACUCCUACGGGAGGCAGCAGUGGGGAAUUUUGGACAAUGGGCGCAAGCCUGAUCCAGCAAUGCCGCGUGCAGGAAGAAGGCCUCGGUUGUAACUAGCUUUGUUACGGUAACGAAACGGUACCGUGGUUAAGUACCUAGGGCGUAAUGACGGUACCGUAAGAAUAAGACACCGGCUAACUACGUAGCCAGCAGCCGCGG
rnacentral:rRNA from 1 species